rnacentral:rRNA from 1 species
GACGAACGCUGGCGGCGUGCUUAACACAUGCAAGUCGAGCGGUAAGGCCACUUCGGUGGUACACGAGCGGCGAACGGGUGAGUAACACGUGAGCAACCUGCCCUUCUCUUUGGAAUAAGCGUUGGAAACGACGUCUAAUGCCGAAUAUGACCUCUUUUCGCAUGAUUUGAGGUGGAAAGCUCCGGCGGAGAGGGAUGGGCUCGCGGCCUAUCAGCUAGUUGGUGUGGGUAAUGGCCCACCAAGGCGACGACGGGUAGCCGGCCUGAGAGGGUGACCGGCCACACUGGGACUGAGACACGGCCCAGACUCCUACGGGAGGCAGCAGUGGGGAAUAUUGGACAAUGGGCGAAAGCCUGAUCCAGCAACGCCGCGUGAGGGAUGACGGCCUUCGGGUUGUAAACCUCUUUCAGCGGGGACGAAGCGAAAGUGACGGUACCCGCAGAAGAAGGACCGGCCAACUACGUGCCAGCAGCCGCCGUAACAC